AUGAAAUAAUAUAUAAUAAAUAAAAAAUCGUAACAAACGCCUUCACUUCUCUCUCUCUCUCUCUCUCUCUGAAACUGCUCGCCGAAAAUCGCCACCGCCGUGCCGGGAAUCGCCCACGGCGGCGGCGGAGGCCUGAUCCUCACCAAAUCACUUCAAUCGCAUUCUUUUCUUCCUCUUAAGAAAGAUUAUCAUCUUAAUUUCAACAAAUUUCCAGCUGUCGCACGCUCGAGAAAAAGAACAGUUUCCGGCGAGCGGUUUACGCCGCCGACCACCGUGAGCCACCAUCUUAGACCUCUUCUUCCUAAUUUCGAGUUUAGCCUAACGUGAUUCGUCAUUAAUCUCUCGUUCUCACUCUCUAAUCCUCAAAACGAAACGAACAAAAAACCUAAAUGAUAUCAACCGGUUUACACUACAAAUUCGAUCCAAUUAGAAGCUGGCAUGAGAAAGAAUGUGAGAAUCGAAAGAUUAUAGCGUUUACCUGGGGAGUAUGAAGGUUGAAGAUAAUUGCUGAGGAAAACCAGAGGUAAUUGCUGCGAGAUUGAGCGCCCGAUGAAGGUGAUGUGCGUCGAAUGUAUGUGGUGAGGUUGUUGUUAGUUAUGCUUUCUGCGAGUGAGAGAGAUGAAUGCGUGUUGUGCGUUCUUGAGAGAGUAGAGUCAAUGGAGGCUAAGCUCAGUUGAAACGAGACUUCGAGGUGAAGUCUCGCACAACAAUGGUGAGAGAAAGAGUGAGGGAAUUGAGAGUGAUUGAAGAUGAAUGGUGUGUGUCGAGGGAAGAGAUGAUAAAGAGAGGAUUGAAGGUGAUGAUAGGUUGAAGAUGAGAAAAUGGUGGACGAAGUGAAGAGAUGAAGAAAGUGAAGAGAGGACCUUCAAGAAUGAAGAAAGUGAAAGUGAUGAGAAAAUGGUGGACGAAGUGAAGAGAUGAUGAAAGUUUUUUUAAGCAUGUAAGGAAAACUCUAGGUCAAGAUGAAAUGUAAUUCAACAGGUUUGGUUGUUCAAAUUUUAGUUCCUAUCUUCUAUCGGAAAGUGGUCUUCUGACUAUAUAAGUGUAACUAACUCGCAACUACACUGCUAACAGAUUUGGCAGCUAACUAAUACGAACAAUUAUAAAAUCUACAAAGAAUAUGAAGAAUAUCGACCUUCCCAUCACCGAUUGACACUCUUCCCAUUCCCUGACUUUCGAACCGGAUAUCUCUUCGAUCUCCAAUCAGCCUGAUUCCGACAAGUGAUUUUACAGUCUUAACCUCCGUUCUGGGAAUUCUGUGCGUGUGCACGGGUACCGGUGUGGUACGCUCAUUUAGAAUUGAAUUGACCUAGAAUGGGAGUUGUACGUGAAUGAAUGUAAGGCAGAAGAUGAUGUUCUGCCGAACGACCUUCAACCACGAUAUUAUGUGUUUGGCUCUCGGCAUUCAAGUUUACCUCUUAUUUUGUGUUUGACUUCUUCUAAUUUAUUAAAAAGUGUUUUAUUUUCUUCUGUUUUUUUUAUCUUUCUAUCUUUCAAUCAUUGUAUUGUUCAUCAAGUGAUUUGGCUUUACUAUUGUUCUGGUACAUAAUAACCUUAAAAGUUAUGUUUGCUGGCAUGUUUUUGGUCUGAUUUAAUGGCCAGACAGAGAAUACAGGGAGGCAAUCAAGUGCUACCGAAAUGCCCUGAGAAUAGAUCCUGACAAUAUUGAAAUUCUGCGUGAUUUAUCACUCUUACAGUGUAAUGGAUUUAACUGAGCAAGAAUGCUUUAAAAAACAAGAAAAGGUGGGAGAAACAGAAGGAGAAAAAGGCUGUUGCUGCUGCCCGUUCUUGAUUGCAUAUCAAUUCUCCCUGUCUCAUUCCAACACAUGCUGCCAACAAGUACAUGUCUGAUUAACACUAGCGGGAUUGUUUGACUUAAGGCAGAAGGUAGUACAGGAAUUACAGAGGCUACAACAGAAGGCAUAAGAGAAUUCAAAGAACACUUCAUAGGUGCUACAUAUUAAGGGCUUGCUACUGAAUUGGAAGGGAAAAUUGGACUAAGUCCAUCAAUUAUACUCAAAGGAUCCACUCUAUAACAAGAUUCUACUGUGCUAUGCUUUGUAGAUGCUUGAAUCCCAACCAAAGACUUGGUAUUACAUAACUGAAUUGUAGGAAUACAACGCAUAUAUGUUAUGUGGUAGGAAUACAAUUCAGUAUAUGCUUCAUCUAAAGUUUACUCAAUUUCACAUUCUUCUUCAAGCAAGAAAACAUACCCAAACCGAAAUAUUUAUAAUAUACACUAUAGGCAACGGCAACGGCAACUAACAGACCAAAAAAUGAUCUCCAACUUCAUGUUCAACAGGUGGAUUGAAUGUUAUUGCACACUUUAGGGGAGAACGGGAAGCAAACAAUGCUGCAGCUAGGGAGGGUGGCAAAAUCUAAGUUUGUUUUUCAGCCUCUUUGGGACAUUCUGAAUAGAUAUUGCCACUAAAAUGGACAAUAUCAAAUGAUAACAGUGAAUGUUCAACAGGUGCUUUGGAGGAAGAUUUUGAAGAUGAGAAUGGGAGCAAAAUCUUUUCUAUCAUAAAAAUGUAUUGUCGUACAGUGAUGAAAUUGUUGCGCAACAGGAUAUUUGGUUUGACUAUGGUACGGCUGCUGAAUGGGUGAAGAAUAAGACGAUGACAUUAUUGUUUAUUUAAAAGCGCAAAACUUGAAGAAUCAAGAGAUAUUAAUGCCAAUGGCUUUGAGCGAGAAGAUAGAUGAAGAGUUGAGGAAACUAUUCAUUAGUCAUUAGUUUUCUAAGAAAUCAACAACAACCACCCUCAUCAUCAUCUUAAAAUGGUAUUUUAGUUUUAAAUUUUCUUUACCAAACUCAUGGUGUUCAUAUGCUGGAUUGAAUGUUAUUGCAGUAGUAGUAUGUUUUUCACUACCUUAUUAUGUUUGUAAUAUAUAUUUGAGUCAACUACUUAUAUACAUAUCCCGUAUUUCAGGUUCAGAAUUUUCACCUAUAAAAAUAUACAUCACAGAGGGUGUAAGAAUCUAUUUUUAUGUCUCUUUUAAUUUUCUUUCAGCUGUCGACUUCUACAUUCUGAUUUACUUAUUGAACCAAGUCAAUGGACUGUUCUAUCCCCCUCUGUUUAUCUGUCAAUAAAACUAUGCAGAAUCUGAUAAACUUUUGUUAUUCAUGUGUACUUUCUCUAUUUUACUUUUUUGUUAAGCUGGAUAUAAAAUUUGGCUGUAAUAUAUAUGCAAAGGGUAUCAGCACCUACUUGGGAGCUGCUCCUAUUGUUUAAUGUCUUGAGAAGUGCCAAACCAACCAAAUGUAAUAAUUACAUCAAGACUUGCUGAUGCUGAUUUAUUCUUUAGCACCUAUGGUUUAUGAACUUGGUUGGAACUGGGACGAGUUAGAGCAUCUAGCUCAAGGAUCUCUGGCUGGUCAUCUUAUAGAAUUUGCUCACCGAGAUGUAAUAAUAUAAUAUAAGUUAGAUGUAGUGUGAAAGCAAUGACUAUUGAAAUGACAACUUAAAAGCUCUGAAGUCACAAUUCACAUUUAAUAGAUUAUAAAUAGAUAUAUCUAUACAUUGCAAGAA